GAAGAAAGUGCUGACAGUGAACAGUCUGCAGUACCAGCAAGCAUGUGCUAUAUUGUUUAAAAAAAGUCUUCUGAAGACGUAUUUCAGAUGCUUUGAUUAAUAUGGUGAUAUGGUACAGUCUAUUCCUCAGAAUAUUUGCCAAAGAAUUCCAAAAGGCUCUGCAAGCUACAAUAUUUGCCACUCCCCAUACGAUUUUUAUACACAUUCCAGAGAAUGGUUUAAAUGCUUAUCAUCAACAGCAGCUGAAUUCUAUUUGCCUGCUACAGCAUGUGUAGCACCAGCUGCUAUAUGCAAUUGAAUUCAACUGUCGUCAAUUGUUCCCAAUCCCAAUUACUCGACUGAAGUAGAGGAGUGCAGCAACAGCUACAACAAACACAUUCACAUCAUGAGAUUCCUGUAAGAAAACUUUCCAAGCCAAUUUACAGGCAAGUUACUAAGCAAAAUUUUGAUACGGAGUGAUGCAACAGAAAUAUUAUGGCAGAAGGCUGAAGGCUUGGACAAAGGGGUAAAUUUUAAGAACUGUGUUAAUGGAGGAAGCAAGUAGAGAUGUGGAGAAGUUCAGAGAAGGAGUUCCAGUGCUUAAGGCCUCAACAUGAGAAGAAUUGGCCAAAUAUAUGACUCUAUGAUUCCAAAUGGUGGAGCAAUUAAAACUAGGGAUGCUUAAGUGGACAUCGUAGUUAUCCCAAACAUUGGUGGGCUGCAGGGGUUUACAGGUAUGGAUGUGGCUACUUUAAAAUAACAUUGAAAACUUCAAAAUUACAGUGUGCCUCCCCACAUGGCAGGAGAUCUCCCCA